GUUCUUAAGUAGUGUGGACACAAUGUUCUGGAAGGGGAGCAGGUUGGAGGGGUGAGAGAGAGUGUGCGCAACACAGCAGAACAUUUAGCAACAAUUAGGAACGCUCCUGGCUGUGAACACAGCCUCACUGGGGAAUCAUCGUCUUCAAGUUCAGUCUCAGAAACCAGCAGCAGAGGGGAGCCACUGUAGUGAAGGAGGAGAUGUCUAACUGGUCUGCUUGUACUGUGUUCUGCAGUAAGACCCUCCCCAGGGAUAGACUCAAGCUCAUCUCAGGUUUGGGCCAGGACAGACAUAACAGAGGAGGGGUUCAGCUCUAGACCAGGACAUAACAGAGGAGGGGUUCAGCACUGGACCAGGACAUAACAGAGGAGGGGUUCAGCACUGGACCAGGACAUAACAGAGGGGUUCAGCACAGGACCAGGACAUAACAGAGGAGGGGUUCAGCACUGGACCAGGACA